UACCAGCACCCCGAGUGGUCGGGACGAUUAUUGGGCCUAAAGCAUCCGUAGCCGGUUCUGCAAGUCCCCCGUUAAAUCCACCUGCUUAACAGAUGGGCUGCGGAAGAUACUAUAGGGCUAGGAGGCGGGAGAGGCAAGCGGUACUCAGUGGGUAGGGGUAAAAUCCUCUGAUCCAUUGAAGACCACCAGUGGCGAAGGCGGCUUGCCAGAACGCGCUCGACGGUGAGGGAUGAAAGCUGGGGGAGCAAACCGG
rnacentral:rRNA from 1 species